UGCUACUUCAUUUAUUUAUUAUAUUGUUUGCUAGUACUUCCUCCUGUGUGCACUGACGUAAAGGCGAGCUGCUGGAACAAAGAGUUUCCCUUCAGGAUCAAUAAAGGAUUUCUGAUUCUGAUAAUCCCACAAAUAUAUCCUACAAUAUCAAAUAUAUACUUUUAAGAUUAUUAGCUGUAAAAAAAAACAUAUUAGAGAAAAAGAAAAAGUACAGCAUAACAAAACACGAUUAUACGACAUUUAACAAACAUUUAAUUUAACAAACAUUUAAUAAACAUUUAACAAACAUUUAAUAAACAUUUAACAAACAUUUAAUAGACCCCACUGAUGCAAAGGAGGAAAAGAACCUUUAAAAAGUAAUAAUGUGUUUUUGGCUGUUAAACAGUGACAGCUGCUUGUUUUCUCUGCAGCGGGUCUCGGACCAGCGGGUCUCGGACCAGCAGGUUUUUCAAAGUUGAGCUUGGAUUUAUUUUGGCGUAUUUCUGUGGCUGAAAUGUUUUCAACAGCUCUGACAUGAGAGAAAGAACCCGAGGAGCUCUGAAUCCGCAGUCAGAGUGAGACCUCCUCCUCCUCCUCCUCUCUGCUCCUGCUGACAGUCGCUUCCUUGUUCUCCUUCAGGUUGAACAUGGAGGGAUCCUAUUGGCUGCUGGGUGGACACCUACCUGUCAGAUGUUGUGAAUGUUCAGCGCCACCUGCUGGUUUAAUGAGGGACAGUUUCAGAGUGUGGGAUCAUGGGAUUUGUAGUCCAUUCUUCGCUCAUUUUGUUGUUUCAGCUGUUUUACUUGUUGAAGUUUUGAUGCCAGUUUCCUGUGAAAGUGCU